GGGUAUCUUUUGGCACCUCUAAAAAUGGUGCAGAAUAAGGGGUGGGCAAGUCUAGUGUCAGCCGCCGCGGUAACACCAGCACCCCGAGUUGUCGGGACGAUUAUUGGGCCUAAAGCAUCCGUAGCCUGUUCUGCAAGUCCUCCGUUAAAUCCACCUGCCCAACGGAUGGGCUGCGGAGGAUACCGCAGAGCUAGGAGGCGGGAGAGGCAAACGGUACUCAGUGGGUAGGGGUAAAAUCCAUUGAUCUACUGAAGACCACCAGUGGCGAAGGCGGUUUGCCAGAACGCGCUCGACGGUGAGGGAUGAAAGCUGGGGGAGCAAACCGGAUUAGAUACCCGGGUAGUCCCAGCUGUAAACGAUGCAGACUCGGUGAUGGGUUGGCCUCGAGCCAACCCAGUGCCGCAGGGAAGCCGUUAAGUCUGCCGCCUGGGGAGUACGGUCGCAAGACUGAAACUUAA
rnacentral:rRNA from 1 species